rnacentral:rRNA from 1 species
GACGAACGCUGGCGGCGUGCUUAACACAUGCCAGUCGAACGGAAAGGCCCUGCUUGCAGGGUGCUCGAGUGGCGAACGGGUGAGUAACACGUGGGUGAUCUGCCCCUUACUUUGGGAUAAGCCUGGGAAACUGGGUCUAAUACUGGAUAGGACCAUGCUGUAGGUGGUGUGGUGGAAAGAUUAGUUCGGUAAGGGAUGAGCUCGCGGCCUAUCAGCUUGUUGGUGGGGUAAUGGCCUACCAAGGCGUCGACGGGUAGCCGGCCUGAGAGGGUGGACGGCCACAUUGGGACUGAGAUACGGCCCAGACUCCUACGGGAGGCAGCAGUGGGGAAUAUUGCACAAUGGGCGCAAGCCUGAUGCAGCGACGCCGCGUGGGGGAUGACGGCCUUCGGGUUGUAAACUCCUUUCAGCCAUGACGAAGCCCUUGUGGUGACGGUAGUGGUAGAAGAAGCACCGGCUAACUACGUG